rnacentral:rRNA from 1 species
UACGGGGGGAGCAAGCGUUGUUCGGAUUUACUGGGCGUAAAGGGCGCGUAGGCGGUCAGCACAAGUCAGUUGUGAAAUCUCCGGGCUUAACUCGGAAAGGUCAACUGAUACUGUGCGACUAGAGUGCGGAAGGGGCAACUGGAAUUCUUGGUGUAGCGGUGAAAUGCGUAGAGAUCAGGAGGAACACCGGUGGCGAAGGCGGCACUCUGGGUCGGCCCUGACGCUGAGGCGCGAAAGCGUGGGGAGCGAACGGG